UACGUAGGGUGCAAGCGUUAAUCGGAAUUACUGGGCGUAAAGCGUGCGCAGGCGGUUUUGUAAGUCAGAUGUGAAAUCCCCGGGCUUAACCUGGGAACUGCGUUUGAAACUACAAGGCUAGAGUGUGGCAGAGGGGGGUGGAAUUCCACGUGUAGCAGUGAAAUGCGUAGAGAUGUGGAGGAACACCGAUGGCGAAGGCGGCAUCCUGGACCGACACUGACGCUGAGGAGCGAAAGCCAGGGGAGCAAACGGG
rnacentral:rRNA from 1 species